rnacentral:lncRNA from 1 species
GAUGGCCAAAAAAAAACGUGAGCUACCUACCAAGUUGGUGGAUUCAAAAUUUCCUCGUUAAGUACACGUAAAGUAUUUCGUCGUAAAGAACUCGCGAAGUUUACUUGGUAUUUACGAGGAAAUAGUGUUUCCUCGUAAAAGCCACGUCAAUUUACAUCGUCUUUACGACGAAAUUGUUUUGUCGUUACCUUACGACGAAAUAACG